rnacentral:siRNA from 1 species
GAGUUAUCGACUGCCACGUCA